UCUUCCUGGACAGAUGGAAAUUGGGCCGAUAGCGGCAGAAGGCGACUCCUCACAGGGAUGAGUGCCAGAUGUUGCUGCAGCAGCUCGCAAGCUCACGCCCCAGA